GAUGAACGCUGGCGGCGUGCCUAAUACAUGCAAGUCGAGCGAACAGAUGAGGAGCUUGCUCCUCUGACGUUAGCGGCGGACGGGUGAGUAACACGUGGAUAACCUACCUAUAAGACUGGGAUAACUUCGGGAAACCGGAGCUAAUACCGGAUAAUAUAUUGAACCGCAUGGUUCAAUAGUGAAAGACGGUUUUGCUGUCACUUAUAGAUGGAUCCGCGCCGCAUUAGCUAGUUGGUAAGGUAACGGCUUACCAAGGCAACGAUGCGUAGCCGACCUGAGAGGGUGAUCGGCCACACUGGAACUGGGACACGGUCCCGACUCCUACGGGAGGCAGCAGUAGGGAAUCUUCCGCAAUGGGCGGAAGCCUGACGGAGCAACGCCGCGUGAGUGAUGAAGGUCUUCGGAUCGUAAAACUCUGUUAUUAGGGAAGAACAAAAUGUGUAAGUAACUAUGCACGUCUUGACGGUACCUAAUCAGAAAGCCACGGCUAACUACGUG
rnacentral:rRNA from 1 species